rnacentral:rRNA from 1 species
CCUACGGGUGGCAGCAGUGAGGAAUAUUGGUCACUGGUCGGGAGCCUGAACCAGCCAAGCCGCGUGAGGGAGGAAGGUCCACAGUAUCGUAAACCUCUUUUGUCAGGGAACAAAGGCGUCCACGUGUAGACUGAUGAGUGUACCUGAAGAACAAGCAUCGGCUAACUCCGUGCCAGCAGCCUCGGUAAUACGGAGGAUGCGAGCGUUAUCCGGAUUUAUUGGGUUUAAAGGUUGCGUAGGCGGUCAGUACAGUCAGCGGUAAAAAUGCGGUGCUAAACGCCGUACAGCCGUUGAAACUGGCAGUCUUGAGUGGGCGAGAGGCAUGCGGAAUGCGUGGUGUAGCGGUGAAAUGCAUAGAUAUCACGAAGAAAUCCGAUUGCGAAGGCAGCAUACCGGCGCCCUACUGACGCUGAGGCACGAAAGCGUGGGUAUCGAACAGGAUUAGAUACCCCAGUAGUC